GUCCCAAGCCUGCCUGUCCCCAGCGUGGAGGCGGGACAGUGGAAGACUGGGUGAGUGAAGCAGGAUGGUGCCUUGGGCUCCAGCGUCUCCCCAACCCCUCCAUGCCAUGGGUCCCCACGCAGCUGAGGCUGGAGUUUGGAGUUUGACCCGCUUGGAGGCUCUCUCAGCAGCGGGCAUAUAGGAGGAAGGGUCACUGCUGUCUCCGGAAGCUCUUGGCUGCAAAGAGAGAGGAUCCCGGGUAUCUCCCUCCUUACAACCACCGCCACCUCCUAGUGCCUUAGAAGCCACUGACAGCCCCCAGGGCAGGUGAGCCCUGCAUCUGGAAUAAGGAUCCAGAGGUCUCGUUCAGGACCAUGGAGAGCGGCACCAGCAGCCCUCAGCCUCCACAGUUAGAUCCCCUGGAUGCGUUUCCCCAGAAGGGCUUGGAGCCUGGGGACAUCGCGGUGCUAGUUCUGUACUUCCUCUUUGUCCUGGCUGUUGGACUAUGGACACAGAGGAGGUACUAUCUACGAGGAACAGGCUCUCACCAGACACCAAACCUCUCGGUGCCUUGAUAUUGAACUUCCAAGUCUCCAGAAUUUCCACAGUGAAGACCAAAAGAGACACAGUGAAAGGCUACUUCCUGGCUGGAGGGGACAUGGUGUGGUGGCCAGUGGGUGCAUCCUUGUUUGCCAGCAAUGUUGGAAGUGGACAUUUCAUUGGCCUGGCAGGGUCAGGUGCUGCUACGGGCAUUUCUGUAUCAGCUUAUGAACUUAAUGGCUUGUUUUCUGUGCUGAUGUUGGCCUGGAUCUUCCUACCCAUCUACAUUGCUGGUCAGGUCACCACGAUGCCAGAAUACCUACGGAAGCGCUUCGGUGGCAUCAGAAUCCCCAUCAUCCUGGCUGUACUCUACCUAUUUAUCUACAUCUUCACCAAGAUCUCGGUUGCAGUGUGGAAGAUGGAGUGGGAGAGGACCAAAAGCAGAAGCAGGAAGACCAUUGAGGAGGCUGCUGCAUCAGCCCAGGGCCCACAGGGCUCCAGCUGAAGACCCCUGAUCUGGGAUGCAGUGGAUUAACAAGGGAUGACGUAGACAUGUAUGCAGGUGCCAUCUUCAUCCAGCAGUCUUUGCACCUGGAUCUGUACCUGGCCAUAGUUGGGCUACUGGCCAUCACUGCUGUAUACACGGUUGCUGGUGGCCUGGCUGCUGUGAUCUACACGGAUGCCCUGCAGACGCUGAUCAUGCUUAUAGGAGCGCUCACCUUGAUGGGCUACAGUUUCGCCGCGGUUGGUGGGAUGGAAGGACUGAAGGAGAAGUACUUCUUGGCCCUGGCUAGCAACCGGAGUGAGAACAGCAGCUGCGGGCUGCCCCGGGAAGAUGCCUUCCAUAUUUUCCGAGAUCCGCUGACAUCUGAUCUCCCGUGGCCGGGGGUCCUAUUUGGAAUGUCCAUCCCAUCCCUCUGGUACUGGUGCACGGAUCAGGUGAUUGUCCAGCGGACUCUGGCUGCCAAGAACCUGUCCCAUGCCAAAGGAGGUGCUCUGAUGGCUGCAUACCUGAAGGUGCUGCCCCUCUUCAUAAUGGUGUUCCCUGGGAUGGUCAGCCGCAUCCUCUUCCCAGAUCAAGUGGCCUGUGCAGAUCCAGAGAUCUGCCAGAAGAUCUGCAGCAACCCCUCAGGCUGUUCGGACAUCGCGUAUCCCAAACUCGUGCUGGAACUCCUGCCCACAGGGCUCCGUGGGCUGAUGAUGGCUGUGAUGGUGGCGGCUCUCAUGUCCUCCCUCACCUCCAUCUUUAACAGUGCCAGCACCAUCUUCACCAUGGACCUCUGGAAUCACCUCCGGCCUCGGGCAUCUGAGAAGGAGCUCAUGAUUGUGGGCAGGGUGUUUGUGCUGCUGCUGGUCCUGGUCUCCAUCCUCUGGAUCCCUGUGGUCCAGGCCAGCCAGGGCGGCCAGCUCUUCAUCUAUAUCCAGUCCAUCAGCUCCUACCUGCAGCCGCCUGUGGCGGUGGUCUUCAUCAUGGGAUGUUUCUGGAAGAGGACCAAUGAAAAGGGUGCCUUCUGGGGCCUGAUCUCGGGCCUGCUCCUGGGCUUGGUUAGGCUGGUCCUGGACUUUAUUUACGUGCAGCCUCGAUGCGACCAGCCAGAUGAGCGCCCGGUCCUGGUGAAGAGCAUUCACUACCUCUACUUCUCCAUGAUCCUGUCCACGGUCACCCUCAUCACUGUCUCCACCGUGAGCUGGUUCACAGAGCCACCCUCCAAGGAGAUGGUCAGCCACCUGACCUGGUUUACUCGUCACGACCCCGUGGUCCAGAAGGAACAAGCACCACCAGCAGCUCCCUUGUCUCUUACCCUCUCUCAGAACGGGAUGCCAGAGGCCAGCAGCAGCAGCAGCGUCCAGUUCGAGAUGGUUCAAGAAAACACGUCUAAAACCCACAGCUGUGACAUGACCCCAAAGCAGUCCAAAGUGGUGAAGGCCAUCCUGUGGCUCUGUGGAAUACAGGAGAAGGGCAAGGAAGAGCUCCCGGCCAGAGCAGAAGCCAUCAUAGUUUCCCUGGAAGAAAACCCCUUGGUGAAGACCCUCCUGGACGUCAACCUCAUUUUCUGCGUGAGCUGCGCCAUCUUUAUCUGGGGCUAUUUUGCUUAGUGUGGGGUGAACCCAGGGGUCCAAACUCUGUUUCUCUUCAGUGCUCCAUUUUUUUAAUGAAAGAAAAAAUAAUAAAGCUUUUGUUUACCA